GAUGAACGCUGGCGGCGUGCCUAAUACAUGCAAGUCGAGCGAACAGACGAGGAGCUUGCUCCUCUGACGUUAGCGGCGGACGGGUGAGUAACACGUGGAUAACCUACCUAUAAGACUGGGAUAACUUCGGGAAACCGGAGCUAAUACCGGAUAAUAUAUUGAACCGCAUGGUUCAAUAGUGAAAGACGGUUUUGCUGUCACUUAUAGAUGGAUCCGCGCCGCAUUAGCUAGUUGGUAAGGUAACGGCUUACCAAGGCAACGAUGCGUAGCCGACCUGAGAGGGUGAUGGCCCACACGGAAACUGACACACGUCCCAGCCCCCUAGGGAGGCCGCCGUAGGGAAAUCUACCGCAAUGGGCGAAGGCUGACGGAGCAAACCCCGCGGAGGGAAGAAGGUUCUUGGAUCCUAAAAACUCUUUAUUUGGGAAGAAACAAUGGGGAAGGAACCUAGCCACGUCUGACGGUAACCAAUCAGAAAGGCCCCGCUAAACACGUG
rnacentral:rRNA from 1 species